GCGCCACGAAUGCGACGCUAACAAACAACACGUGGGUGCCACCGGGGAACCACGAGACGUUGAUCAAAGUUAUUUCCAAUUUUCGCAUUGACGUCAAUUCUGCUAUUCGAAACAGACGGCUCGGAGCCACUACAAACUUCCAAAAUGACCGACGAAGUCAACCCAAAGGCUUACCCGCUGGCCGAUCCUGAGCUGACGGCGAAGAUCCUGAACAUCGUUCAGCAGGCCACCAACUACAAGCAGAUGAGGAAAGGUGCAAACGAAGCCACGAAGGCUUUGAACCGUGGGCUCGCCGAAAUCAUUGUCAUGGCUGCCGACGCGACGCCCCUGGAAAUCGUUCUACACCUGCCACUUCUUUGUGAAGACAAGAAUGUGCCAUACGUGUUUGUGCGGUCUAAGCACGCCCUGGGACGAGCAUGUGGAGUUUCUCGGCCAGUCGUCGCGUGUUCGGUCACGGUCAACGAGGGGUCGCAGCUGAAGCCUCAGAUACAGAGUCUCCAGCAAGAGAUUGAAAAGCUGCUCGUCUGAGUGAAACGAAUGAGACAGAAAUGAACUUCUCUGCACCUCAUCCUUCUUUUUUUUUUUUUUUCCAUAGUUGAAGCGUGCUUUCGCUUGUUGUACAUUAUCCACACCGUUCUGUUUUUGCUCAUUGCCGUGUGCUUCGAGACAGUGCUCCCAUGAGCUUUAUUUUGUUAGAAGCCCUGU
rnacentral:misc_RNA from 1 species